rnacentral:sRNA from 1 species
UUCAAAGUCCUAAGACUGAAGUUUGCAAUCCACACAACAGGUUCAGCAUGGGCAGUGGCAGUACUAGCUUCUGACAUGUUGCCACCUGCUAGUGUGCUCCCCAUAGUCAUUCACUCCUUGGCAGUGGCCUCUUUGCUGAG